rnacentral:rRNA from 1 species
GACGGAGGAUGCAAGCGUUAUCCGGAAUGAUUGGGCGUAAAGCGUCCGCAGGUGGCAGUUCAAGUCUGCUGUCAAAGACCGGGGCUUAACUUCGGAAAGGCAGUGGAAACUGAACAGCUAGAGUAUGGUAGGGGCAGAGGGAAUUCCUGUGUAGCGGUGAAAUGCGUAGAGAUCAGGAAGAACAUCGGUGGCGAAGGCGCUCUGCUGGACCAUAACUGACACUCAGGGACGAAAGCUAGGGGAGCGAAUGGG